GAGUUUGAUCGUGGCUCAGAAUCAACGCUGGCGGCGUGCCUAACACAUGCAAGUCGAACGCGAAAGGGGCUUCGGCCCUGAGUAGAGUGGCGAACGGGUGAGUAACACGUGGGUGAUCUACCUUCGAGUGGGGGAGUAACGUCCCGAAAGGGUCGCUAAUACCGCAUGACGUUCCGGGUUUAAACACUUGGAAACCAAAAGACCGGGGACCGGCAAGGCCUGGCGCUUGGAGAGGAGCCCGCGUCCGAUUAGCUAGUUGGCGGGGUAAUGGCCCACCAAGGCGACGAUCGGUAGCCGGCCUGAGAGGGCGGACGGCCACACUGGAACUGAGACACGGUCCAGACUCCUACGGGAGGCAGCAGUGGGGAAUUGUUCACAAUGGGCGCAAGCCUGAUGACGCAACGCCGCGUGGGGGAUGAAGGUCUUCGGAUUGUAAACCCCUGUCGAACGGGACGAAUGGCCCGGGAGCUAAUCAUCCUGGGAGUGACGGUACCGUUAAAGGAAGCCACGGCUAACUCUGUGCCAGCCGCCGCAGU
rnacentral:rRNA from 1 species